rnacentral:lncRNA from 1 species
CAGGCUUGCAUCCCAGGGAUGAAGCCAACUUGAUCAUGGUUGAUAAGCUUUUUGAUGUGCUGCUGGAUUAGAAAGUCGAGGGAGAAUAUAAUGAGUUCAUUUAUAGGCAUAUAUUAUUUGAUGUAUCCAUGGACAUGCUAGUAACUAUUUUCAGUAGUGUAGGAAUAAGUUAUCAAUAUAACUUAUUUUAAAAAUAACAUAAACAUAAUUAGGCUUUUAUUAUAAUUAAGAAAACCUCUGGAUUACAAUGCUGGUUGGUGGAGAGAGGGAGAGGCUACUGAAGAAAAAUAAACUUUGACUCAAAUACCUUACAAAUUCAAAGUACUAGAGCAGCUACUUACAUAUCAACAAAACAGUAAAGUUUGCACUAAAAGCUUUUAUCCAUUGUACUUAUCUAAAUAGAAAGAUCCCCAUGUGUAUGGGGACAUGGUGUGGCAGAAUCCUUUUUAGGCUUAAAUGCAUAUAUACUCUUUCUCUUAUAAAUGCAAUUACCACGCAUGAAAUAGCUAUGAAAUAUCUGUUCAUCCUGGGGACAGUUUGGUUAGCUUCUUGGGAAUAGUUGUGAAGAUGAAAACUAUGUCCAUGAAGGAAAGCUGACUGAGUAGAAAGUAUUUCAGCUCGUUUCCAUACAACUGUUGUUAUUGUUGAUGAUGAUGAUGAUGAUUCAUUAUAAAAUGAAGCAUCUGGGGUGACUGCCUAACUGGACAGGAUGCCAGGAUAACAGGGGUAAACAGGGACUAUCCCAGCUAAACCAGGGGUGUGGUCACCUUCUAUUUGAAGUCAUAACAUUUUUUCCUUAGGUUAUUGUUGUACUGAACGUAUUAAAUAUAGAGUUUCCAUCUUAAACUAAUUCUGAAGUAGAGAUGCUGUGAUUUUAUUUUAACUGUUGUAUUAUCUGGAAACUCAUUCUACUGGGGCUCAAAUUUACAUAUAUUUAGGGCAUGAGCAUGGUGACGGUUAAUACUGAGGGUCAACUUGAUUGGAUUGAAGGAUGCAAGGUAUUAAUCCUGCAUGUGUCUGUGAGGGUGUUGCCAAAGGACAUUAACAUUUGAGUCAGUGGGCUGGGGGAGACAGACCCACCCUUAAUCUGGUGGGCACCAUCUAAUCAGCUGCAAGCGAAUAUAAAUCAGGCAGCAAAAAUGGCCUAGUCUUCCAGCCUACAUUUUUCUCCUGUGCUUGGAUGCUUCCUGCCCUCAAACAUCGGACUCCAAGUUCUUCAGUUUUAAGACUUGGACUGCCUCUCCUUGCUCCUCAAGCUUGCAGACAGCCUAUUGUGGGACCUUGUGAUCAUGUAAGUUAAAACUUAACAAACUUCCCAUUAUAUCUCUGUCUAUCUGUCUGUCUGUCUGUCUGUCUGUAUCUAUCUAUCUAUCUAUCUAUCUAUCUAUCUAUCUAUCUAUUCUGUCCCUUUAUGGAAACCUGACUAAUUCAGGCUUGGACCAAUAUUUUGUGUUAAGUUGUUGAGACUGAGACACAAAGAUCAGAUAACUGAAA